AGCAAUGUUCAGCAUGUCUGCCUUCCAGAUGGGAGGGAGUCUUACACAACUUCAAGAAAGGAAAGCCUAGAGUUCCACCCAGCUUGCAUACAUCCAGCUUUGUUCCCAUCAGGUUCCCAGGACCCUUCAAGAAGCUUGGUGAGAAUAUCACUGCAAGGAGAGAACCUUCCAGAGUGCCUCUGCCCCAGGCCUUUGCACCGCCCUUCUGUCUGCCUGGAAUGCUUUUCUUUGCCUCUUUCCCCAGACUGAGGCAAGACCACGUGGACUCAACAGAAGGGAACCAUCCACAGGCUAGGAGCAGAGCCCUCAACAGAAACCAGAAAUCAGGUCACCUGGAAAUGGUCUUCCAGCUUCUGGGUCGCCUGCCUGGAAACAUUAGAAGGGACAGAGGCGGCGAGAUGUCUAAAAUAGGAAGACGCUGGGGACGGCUGGCCUGGCUGCCCGCGUUGCUGGCUGCAGGGAUCUGGUCCGGCUGUGCAGAUGGAAAAGCUAGAAGACAGGAUCUCAUGUGGCUCCCCAGCUGAUGAAGAACUCACCGUGACGCUCAGGGUGGCCUUGAAUGUCUCCUCUUCUGGCUUCCACCCCUUGAGUACUGGAUGUACAGGCGCGUGGUACCACGAUGGUUUUCACCUCAGCGCCAGGCACUGAACCCAGGAUUGCAUGCAUUCUAGGUGAACGUUCUGCUGCCUGAGCUACAUCCCCAACACUGUGAGGAAUGUCUUCA
rnacentral:lncRNA from 1 species